UCUCAUGAUAUGCGUAUGUGGUUGGUGCUAUUCUUUCUUGCUUCUAUUUUAGAGCUAAGGUACUUGAAGAUCAGCAGUGCUGAGUGACUCACAGUCACGCUGCCAUCAAGUGGAGCUGCUGGGACCAGGUCCCAGGUGUCCUAAACCCGAGUCAGACUUCAGACGACUAAUGCCUGCCAGUCGGUGUUGAAAAGCUAGCAGAGUCAUGCAGGCGAUGAAGACCAAGAUCAAAGUGCUGGAGAACAAACUUAAGCAGAGCUGGCCCUGUUUGCAAAGUAACACUUUCACAGGCAGUUUUGCUCCCUUGCUGGCCUGCUGGCUUCUGCCCCUCAGAGAGACCUUCUGCAGGACUUAGAUAAUCAAAGGUGCUGUGGCCACUCCACACUUGCAGGAAACUCUAAGGAUGUCUGGUUAUGAGGCUACAGUGAAAAUAGACUUCUCGUAUGCUGACAAAUGAAACCAGCCCAUUAAUACAUAUUUACUGUGCCCCACUUGCUUUUCAAUGUGACUUUGAACCUUGUCCACAACGUCAUGAAUGUGGGAACGCCAGGGCCCAGCUUUGGCCAACAGAAUGAAGGCAAUGGCAGGUUUGAAGAAGCUCCAAACACUACUACUGUUGGAGGAUUUGUGACUGAAAUGGCUUAGAUCUUAACUAAAGAAGCAACCACGUGGAGUCAGUUUCUUCAGGCUCCAGGGCACUCUUAAACCUCCCAAUGCGGACCCUGAGGCUUUCCAGCGUGGACUCACACUUGACUCUUCAGUGAGCUCCAGGCUUUCAACGGCAUCCUCUAGCUCUUCAGUGACCAGAUGGCCAUUUUGCAAUCUUCCAUCCUGCUCAUCUGGCUGGUAAAUCCUUUAUAUAAUCAUGUAUAUAAUUAAAUGUUUCUCCAGUGAACCCUAACUGAGCCAGAUUUGGGUACAAGAAGCAGAGUGUUUGCUGUGAUACUGUCUGACCAUGUUGUUCUGAAGCCUUCAAAACUGCACGAUGGGAGGAGUCUGGGGAGAUCUGGAGAAGCCAGCUGGAGAAGCAAGCCUAGAAUGCUAUGAACUGAGCUUGAUGGGACAUUCUGGUCAGAGUGCAGAAUACCAAAAUGCUGAUGAGAAGGAAGAUGUUAAAGACUGGGCUCAGGAGGUUUCAGUUGGAAACAAAGACUCUACUGGCAGUUGGGCUCAAGGCCAUGUGUGUUAUGCUCUGAUAGAAAAUUUGCCUGUAAUUUGCUCAUGUCCUGAGACUUUGUGGGAGACUUGAGAUUAAGGAUGAUGGGCUAAUUAAUGUGGUGGAGGAAAUUUCAAGGCAGCCCAAAAUUGGGCUGUGGCAUGGGUGUUGUUGAUAGCUUUUAGCUAGCUCGAUAUAGAGAAUCAAGAGCAAAUGGUACAGCUGAGUAAUAUUAAAAGUUUUAAAUUUCACCAUAAAGGAAGCUCCUGUAAAGUCGGGGCUUGCAAAGUUAAAGCAGAAGAGAGCUUGGUUGCUGAAAAGACUGGUUUAGCAUUAAAAAGAAGCCAAGUACUUUGUGUCAGGACAAUAGGAAAGAUGCCUUGAGGUCAUCUGGGAAAACAUUAAGAUUGGGCACUUUGGCUUGCAAAAAUAAAAACUUUGAGAAGACAGCUCCAAGGCACUCUGCGGAAGAAGAGCAGCCUAGGGAACUGAUUCUCCAGGAUUCAAGUCACUGCAUGCAAGCAUCCAGGUGCUCAGAGGCCUCUGCAUCCAUGAUGCAAAAAGGCCCAGCUACUGCUUAAGUUUCAAGAAGAUCUUGGCAUCAUCCACUUGGUGCAGGUUUUACAGGCAUGCAGAAUGCCAGACUUCUGACAUCAUUGAGGUUUCCAACCAGGAUGCAGAAGAAGGCCUGGGAGACCAGGCAGUGAGUUCAUGCGAGGGAAGAGUAUGGAGUGGUGAGGGUGAAGUCAAAAGUGUAGCUCAGAAUCCAGAAAGUUGGAGGUGCCUGGUAGGUGAAACAUCUGAGGAAAUCUGUGAGCAAAGCCAGCCCAAGAAGAGCCAUGAGACCUACAACUACCAGCAAUGUCAUCAGAGCAGGUCUACCCAAGGUGCUCGGAGCUUAUAUCUUACCACAUCUUGUUCCAAGUGAUGGACAAAGAGCCAGAGGAUUUAAUGUUUGCCCUAGUUCAUUUCGGCCUUGCUUUAGUCUCAUUGGUUUCUAUUCCCCCAUUUCACCCU